AGUGAACGCUGGCGGUAGGCCUAACACAUGCAAGUCGAACGGCAGCACAGGAGAGCUUGCUCUCUGGGUGGCGAGUGGCGGACGGGUGAGGAAUACAUCGGAAUCUACUUUUUCGUGGGGGAUAACGUAGGGAAACUUACGCUAAUACCGCAUACGACCUACGGGUGAAAGCAGGGGACCUUCGGGCCUUGCGCGAUUGAAUGAGCCGAUGUCGGAUUAGCUAGUUGGCGGGGUAAAGGCCCACCAAGGCGACGAUCCGUAGCUGGUCUGAGAGGAUGAUCAGCCACACUGGAACUGGGACACGGUCCAGACGCCUACGGGAGGCAGCAGUGGGGAAUAUUGGACAAUGGGCGCAAGCCUGAUCCAGCCAUACCGCGUGGGUGAAGAAGGCCUUCGGGUUGUAAAGCCCUUUUGUUGGGAAAGAAAUCCAGCUGGUUAAUACCCGGUUGGGAUGACGGUACCCAAAGAAUAAGCACCGGCUAACUUCGUGCCAGCCGCCGCCGUAA
rnacentral:rRNA from 1 species